UCGGAUUGUAGUCUGCAACCCGACUACAUGAAGCUGGAAUCGCUAGUAAUCGCGGAUCAGAAUGCCGCGGUGAAUACGUUCCCGGGUCUUGUACACACCGCCCGUCACACCAUGGGAGUCGGAAAUGCCCGAAGUCUGUGACCCAACCGGAAGGAAGGAGCAGCCGAAGGCAGGUCUGAUGACUGGGGUGAAGUCGUAACAAGGUACC
rnacentral:rRNA from 1 species